rnacentral:misc_RNA from 1 species
AAUUACCCCUGUCUCUCUGAAAGAUACUUAAACUCAAAGCCUCACAAUUGUCAACCGAAAUAAUUGAACUCUAUGGAGGCAUAACUUGAUAUUACUUAAAGAAACCAUAAUGUAUUUUUUGUUCAAGAACCAAGAUUUUCAAAAACUAAUAAAUCUUAAAGGCCCAAGCUUUUCUUGUGAGCCCACAUACAAAUAAUUGUAGGCCUGAAUUAGCCACCUUCCCCUAGUCUAGAACUAGAAGAAUCUAAAUUCUAUCAUCUCAAAAGUUUGUUAAUUUUGUUUGAAGCUCGAAGAAGAUUCAGUCUCCAUGUCUUUACCUCUGCAAGGCCUCUUUCGUCUCCGAUCAUCGACUAGGGUUUCACCACACCUUCGAAUCCACGCUUUCCAGAAGAAGUCUUGCACUUGCCUCUAAUUUUCAUAAACUCAAUUCUAGAAGUCUCACAACCCUAUGCCAGAACAAACCCCGCCACCG